UGGAAAUCCUCAUAUGAACUGUCUUAUAUACUAGAAUAUUUCCAAUUUGCUAAGAAAAUAGGUUGUUCUUACAUAUUAAUCUGCGCCAGGACCUUGUCUUAAGGUGAUCCAUUUGUUUAUGGCCUUCUCAGACUGCCUCUACCACUCACCGCUUAACUUGUUCUGGUCGAUGUACUUGAGGGCUGCAAGUAGAGCUAGGGCUUCGAUCUGUGCCGGAGAGGACGCUUGGACGGAUCGGGUGAAGCCAUCGACCAAGCAAACCGUAUAGUCUCGACAGAUGCAAGUGAUUGCACCCUCGGUCGACCAUUCGCCAAGAGACCCAUCAAUACUAAUUUUCAAGAUCCCCUCCACCGGAGCUGUCCACACUUGUGCUGAGUUGUUUCGGGCCUUCCAAAGAUGCCAAAAGAACAGUCGCCACCAUCUCAAAUUUAGCAUUUUUCACUUGCAGGUCGUAUGGGAGGUGCCACAGGUCUGUGAGGCAACCCAGGUACAGGAUGCAGCUUAGGUUUCUCAGAGGUGACAGUUGAGCCGUUGAACUUCUUCUCCACCAUGCCUUUCUUUUCCUCGAGAGAAACAAAACCGUGGACUGAGUCGGUUGUUUGUGCUCGCCGAUUCAUUUGAACAGGAUGUUCAUGGUGCGAGUAAAAUGUUUGGUCAUACUGCAACCACAGAUUGCAUGAGAUAAAAUGAAUCAGAGGAAAUAAUUGAGGCAUAAACUUAAAUUUCAUAACCAAACUUCAAGAUUAUAUUUUAAAUUGUCCAUCGUUCUUAUGUAAUUGAGAGUCAAUUAAGCACGAGUAACUUGAGUGAAAGUCCACUUAGACUGGUUCUAUAAUGGACUUACUAUUCUACACAAAGAAGAUUGGAGCAAAAUCAUCCUUAUUUUUCAGAUAACCUGGAAAAGGGAAGUACCCUUCCAAUGCAUUUUAAACCAUUCAUUAACCUAACUUUACUAUACAUGUAAUCACAUAAACCAAAUGACUUUCAAGUGAAGAAUUUUGACCUCUGUUUCCAUGGAUCCUUCCAAGAAGUCGGCAUAAGCAAGAUCUGCACUUUGCAUGUCACCAAUAUCUUCAUCUUCUUCACUUGUUCCAAACAUUGAUUGAAUUGAUUCAUCAGUAAGGCCAUCGUCCCUUGGUAUGUCCAUGACAGAAGGACCCUCAAUAUUUGCAGGCUCGUGCAAGUUGGAGGGGAAGCUAUUAUUUUGCAAUCCUAGUUCAGGAUGAAGCUGCUGCAGGAAGCCAGCUGCAAAUUCAAUUCGGUUCCCGGGCGGAAUUAACUCCAUCAGUGAAAUCAUCUGUGCUUGGAUUAGAGGCUGUAGUAACAAGUGAAAAAAUUAGCCAUCAACACAUUUCACGCACUCGAUAAGACAGAUAUUUAGUGUAUAAACAGAACAUUUUGUCCUCCACACCUCUGGGAACAAGUCCUCAUCAACAGGUCGAUGAAGAUCCAAUUCGAAAUCUGUCAGGUUAAUGGCUCCACGCUCUGAUACUACAGUUGAAUUAUCAGCCUUCUCA